CCUUUCCAUUCUUUUUUCUUCAUCCCAAACCCUAAUGCCGAAUGUUUAAGGGUUUUUUCCACUUUGUUCGGAUCAACUUGGUUAACGAUUUACACUCUUGUGGGGGAUUAAUCUACAGCUUCUUGGUUCCAUCUUCAAAUAGGCUUCAAACCAGUAAUAUGGCCAUAUGGGCUGAAUUUAUAUGACUUGGGCUCCCAAACAUUGCUCAGCUAAGUGUGACAUAUUAUUAUGUUGCCUCAACUGCAUCCCGUUAAAGUAUUUCAGUGAUUACUCAAUACUAUGCUAUGAAGAUACCUACACUUUCCCAUUCUCGGUGAUGUAGGCUCCCAUGAUCAAUUGUAGGUGCAUCACCAAGUUUUUAUUAUUUAUUGAACUCGGUUUUUUUUUUUUUUGCUAUUAUAGUGCACAUAGAUUAUAGGACUUCGCUUUUUCUAUACACCUUAUUGCUUUAUGAGCAUUUAAACCUUCAAUUUUUAUUUACAGUCUCACCACAAACCUUCAUUUAUACAAGAAAAAUAACAUAUAAAUUUGUUGUUAGAAUUCACAAGUUUGUUGGUGUCACAUUCAGCUCCACAAUUGCAUAUUGAUGCGAUUUGCUAACUGUGGCAGUUGGUGGUGUGGAGUCCGCUGUUAUUGAAGUGUCUAAUGUUUCAAAAUGCCACCCAAUCAUUGUUGUGUUUGGCACACUAAUAAUAAAUAGAUGGUUUAAAAAUUUAGACAUGUGCUUCAACUCACCAACCAGAUUCGACCAAUAUAAAAUAUCGGUUUUACUCCGAACCCAUUUUGACCAGUUACCCAAAACAUCCAUUUUUGUUUUUUUUUUUUUUUUUGUGUAGACUAAGUAUUUUAUUUAUUAUUUCCUUAUGGUUGAAUUUUUUAAUUUUUAAACUAACCGCGAAAGGUAACCAUGAAGUGAACACCCCUACUUCAUACUAUGUUCCAUGGUAGCCGAAGAAACACGACCCACUGCAACAGGCCCUGGAACAAAAAUGGGUCGGUUGUUACAUUCAACAAAGGAGGUCUGAGUCGAA